rnacentral:rRNA from 1 species
GAUGAACGCUGGCGGCGUGCCUAAUACAUGCAAGUCGAGCGAACAGACGAGGAGCUUGCUCCUCUGACGUUAGCGGCGGACGGGUGAGUAACACGUGGAUAACCUACCUAUAAGACUGGGAUAACUUCGGGAAACCGGAGCUAAUACCGGAUAAUAUAUUGAACCGCAUGGUUCAAUAGUGAAAGACGGUUUUGCUGCCACUUAUAGACGGAUCCGCGCCGCAUUAGCUAGUUGGUAAGGUAACGGCUUACCAAGGCGACGAUGCGUAGCCGACCUGAGAGGGUGAUCGGCCACACGGGAACUGAGACACGGUCCAGACUCCUACGGGAGGCAGCAGUAGGGAAUCUUCCGCAAUGGGCGAAAGCCUGACGGAGCAACGCCGCGUGAGUGAUGAAGGUCUUCGGAUCGUAAAACUCUGUUAUUAGGGAAGAACAAAUGUGUAAGUAACUAUGCACGUCUUGACGGUACCUAAUCAGAAAGCCACGGCUAACUACGUG